rnacentral:rRNA from 1 species
UUUGGUUAAGUUAGAAAGGGCGCACGGUGGAUGCCUUGACACUAGGAGUCGAUGAAGGACGGGACUAACGCCGAUAUGCUUCGGGGAGCUGUAAGUAAGCUUUGAUCCGAAGAUUUCCGAAUGGGGAAACCCACCAUACGUAAUGGUAUGGUAUCCUUACCUGAAUACAUAGGGUAAGGAAGACAGACCCAGGGAACUGAAACAUCUAAGUACCUGGAGGAAGAGAAAGCAAAUGCGAUUUCCUGAGUAGCGGCGAGCGAAACGGAACAUAGCCCAAACCAAGAGGCUUGCCUCUUGGGUUGUAGGACAUUCUAUACGGAGUUACAAAGGAACGAGGUAGACGAAGCGACCUGGAAAGGUCCGUCGUAGAGGGUAACAACCCCGUAGUCGAAACUUCGUUCUCUCUUGAAUGUAUCCUGAGUACGGCGGAACACGUGAAAUUCCGUCGGAAUCUGGGAGGACCAUCUCCCAAGGCUAAAUACUCCCUAGUGAUCGAUAGUGAACCAGUACCGUGAGGGAAAGGUGAAAAGCACCCCGGAAGGGGAGUGAAAGAGAUCCUGAAACCGUGUGCCUACAAAUAGUCAGAGCCCGUUAAUGGGUGAUGGCGUGCCUUUUGUAGAAUGAACCGGCGAGUUACGAUCCCGUGCGAGGUUAAGCUGAAGAGGCGGAGCCGCAGCGAAAGCGAGUCUGAAUAGGGCGUUUAGUACGUGGUCGUAGACCCGAAACCAGGUGAUCUACCCAUGUCCAGGGUGAAGUUCAGGUAACACUGAAUGGAGGCCCGAACCCACGCACGUUGAAAAGUGCGGGGAUGAGGUGUGGGUAGCGGAGAAAUUCCAAUCGAACCUGGAGAUAGCUGGUUCUCCCCGAAAUAGCUUUAGGGCUAGCCUUAAGUGUAAGAGUCUUGGAGGUAGAGCACUGAUUGAACUAGGGGUCCUCAUCGGAUUACCGAAUUCAGUCAAACUCCGAAUGCCAAUGACUUAUCCUUAGGAGUCAGACUGCGAGUGAUAAGAUCCGUAGUCAAGAGGGAAACAGCCCAGAUCGCCAGCUAAGGUCCCAAAGUGUGUAUUAAGUGGAAAAGGAUGUGGAGUUGCUUAGACAACUAGGAUGUUGGCUUAGAAGCAGCCACCAUUUAAAGAGUGCGUAAUAGCUCACUAGUCGAGUGACUCUGCGCCGAAAAUGUACCGGGGCUAAAUACACCACCGAAGCUGCGAAUUGAUACCAAUGGUAUCAGUGGUAGGGGAGCGUUCUAAGUGCAGUGAAGUCAGACCGGAAGGACUGGUGGAGCGCUUAGAAGUGAGAAUGCCGGUAUGAGUAGCGAAAGACGGGUGAGAAUCCCGUCCACCGAAUGCCUAAGGUUUCCUGAGGAAGGCUCGUCCGCUCAGGGUUAGUCAGGACCUAAGCCGAGGCCGACAGGCGUAGGCGAUGGACAACAGGUUGAUAUUCCUGUACCACCUCUUUAUCGUUUGAGCAAUGGAGGGACGCAGAAGGAUAGAAGAAGCGUGCGAUUGGUUGUGCACGUCCAAGCAGUUAGGCUGAUAAGUAGGCAAAUCCGCUUAUCGUGAAGGCUGAGCUGUGAUGGGGAAGCUCCUUAUGGAGCGAAGUCUUUGAUUCCCCGCUGCCAAGAAAAGCUUCUAGCGAGAUAAAAGGUGCCUGUACCGCAAACCGACACAGGUAGGCGAGGAGAGAAUCCUAAGGUGUGCGAGAGAACUCUGGUUAAGGAACUCGGCAAAAUGACCCCGUAACUUCGGGAGAAGGGGUGCUUUCUUAACGGAAAGCCGAAUCCUAAGGUGUGCGAGAGAACUCUGGUUAAGGAACUCGGCAAAAUGACCCCGUAACUUCGGGAGAAGGGGUGCUUUCUUAACGGAAAGCCGCAGUGAAUAGGCCAAGCGACUGUUUAGCAAAAACACAGCUCUCUGCGAAGCCGUAAGGCGAAGUAUAGGGGUGACACCUGCCCGGUGCUGGAAGGUUAAGGAGAGGGGUUAGCGUAAGCGAAGCUCUGAACUGAAGCCCCAGUAAACGGCGGCCGUAACUAUAACGGUCCUAAGGUAGCGAAAUUCCUUGUCGGGUAAGUUCCGACCCGCACGAAAGGUGUAACGAUUUGGGCACUGUCUCAACCAGAGACUCGGUGAAAUUAUAGUACCUGUGAAGAUGCAGGUUACCCGCGACAGGACGGAAAGACCCCGUGGAGCUUUACUGUAGCCUGAUAUUGAAUUUUGGUACAGUUUGUACAGGAUAGGCGGGAGCCAUUGAAACCGGAGCGCUAGCUUCGGUGGAGGCGCUGGUGGGAUACCGCCCUGACUGUAUUGAAAUUCUAACCUACGGGUCUUAUCGACCCGGGAGACAGUGUCAGGUGGGCAGUUUGACUGGGGCGGUCGCCUCCUAAAGUGUAACGGAGGCGCCCAAAGGUUCCCUCAGAAUGGUUGGAAAUCAUUCGUAGAGUGCAAAGGCAUAAGGGAGCUUGACUGCGAGACCUACAAGUCGAGCAGGGACGAAAGUCGGGCUUAGUGAUCCGGUGGUUCCGCAUGGAAGGGCCAUCGCUCAACGGAUAAAAGCUACCCCGGGAUAACAGGCUUAUCUCCCCCAAGAGUCCACAUCGACGGGGAGGUUUGGCACCUCGAUGUCGGCUCAUCGCAUCCUGGGCUGUAGUCGGUCCCAAGGGUUGGGCUGUUCGCCCAUUAAAGCGGUACGCGAGCUGGGUUCAGAACGUCGUGAGACAGUUCGGUCCCUAUCCGUCGUGGGCGUAGGAAAUUUGAGAGGAGCUGUCCUUAGUACGAGAGGACCGGGAUGGACGCACCGCUGGUGUACCAGUUGUUCUGCCAAGGGCAUAGCUGGGUAGCUAUGUGCGGAAGGGAUAAGUGCUGAAAGCAUCUAAGCAUGAAGCCCCCUCAAGAUGAGAUUUCCCAUAGCGUAAGCUAGUAAGAUCCCUGAAAGAUGAUCAGGUUGAUAGGUUCGAGGUGGAAGCAUGGUGACAUGUGGAGCUGACGAAUACUAAUAGAUCGAGGACUUAACCAUAUAA